ACGCUGGCGGCAGGCUUAACACAUGCAAGUCGAGCGCCUCGCAAGAGGAGCGGCAGACGGGUGAGUAACGCGUGGGAAUCUACCCAUCUCUACGGAACAACUCCGGGAAACUGGAGCUAAUACCGUAUACGUCCUUCGGGAGAAAGAUUUAUCGGGNAUGGAUGAGCCCGCGUUGGAUUAACUAGUUGGUGGGGUAAUGGCCUACCAAGGCGACUAUCCAUAGCUGGUCUGAGAGGAUGAUCAGCCACAUUGGGACUGAGACACGGCCCACACUCCUACGG
rnacentral:rRNA from 1 species